rnacentral:tRNA from 6 species
UGGGGAUUCGCCAAGUGGUAAGGCAGCGGACUUUGACUCCGCCAUUCGGGGGUUCGAAUCCCUCAUCCCCAACCA